rnacentral:rRNA from 1 species
ACGAUUGACUAAGUCUGACGGAGCAGCGCCGCGUGAGUGAUGAAGGCUUUCGGGUCGUAAAACUCUGUUGUUAGGGAAGAACAAGUGCUAGUUGAAUAAGCUGGCACCUUGACGGUACCUAACCAGAAAGCCACGGCUAACUACGUGCCAGCAGCCGCGGUAAUACGUAGGUGGCAAGCGUUAUCCGGAAUUAUUGGGCGUAAAGCGCGCGCAGGUGGUUUCUUAAGUCUGAUGUGAAAGCCCACGGCUCAACCGUGGAGGGUCAUUGGAAACUGGGAGACUUGAGUGCAGAAGAGGAAAGUGGAAUUCCAUGUGUAGCGGUGAAAUGCGUAGAGAUAUGGAGGAACACCAGUGGCGAAGGCGACUUUCUGGUCUGUAACUGACACUGAGGCGCGAAAGCGUGGGGAGCAAACAGGAUUAGAUACCCUGGUAGUCCACGCCGUAAACGAUGAGUGCUAAGUGUUAGAGGGUUUCCGCCCUUUAGUGCUGAAGUUAACGCAUUAAGCACUCCGCCUGGGGAGUACGGCCGCAAGGCUGAAACUCAAAGGAAUUGACG